rnacentral:rRNA from 1 species
ACGAACGCUGGCGGCGUGCCUAACACAUGCAAGUCGAGCGGGGACAGUGAGUAGCAAUACGAACUGUCUAGCGGCGGACGGGUGAGUAACGCGUGAGCAACCUGUCCCAGUCAGGGGGAUAACGAGCCGAAAGGCUCCCUAAUACCGCAUGAGACCACAGCAUCACAUGGUGCAGGGGUCAAAGGAGAAAUCCGGACUGGGGUGGGCUCGCGUCUGAUUAGCUAGUUGGUGAGGUAAAGGCCCACCAAGGCGACGAUCAGUAGCCGACCUGAGAGGGUGAUCGGCCACAUUGGAACUGAGACACGGUCCAAACUCCUACGGGAGGCAGCAGUGGGGAAUAUUGGGCAAUGGGGGAAACCCUGAACCCCCAGCAACGCCGCGUGAAGGAAGAAGGUCUUCGGAUCGUAAACUUCUAUCCUUGGUGAAGAUAAUGACGGUAGCCGAGAAGGAAGCCCCGGCUAACUACGUGCCAGCAGCUGC